CCUACGGGAGGCUGCAGUGAGGAAUAUUGGUCAAUGGACGCGAGCCUGAACCAGCCAAGUAGCGUGAAGGAUGACUGCCCUACGGGUUGUAAACUUCUUUUAUAAAGGAAUAAAAUGAGGCACGUGUGCCUUUUUGUAUGUACUUUAUGAAUAAGGAUCGGCUAACUCCGUGCCAGCAGCCGCGGUAAUACGGAGGAUCCGAGCGUUAUCCGGAUUUAUUGGGUUUAAAGGGAGCGUAGAUGGGUUGUUAAGUCAGUUGUGAAAGUUUGCGGCUCAACCGUAAAAUUGCAAUUGAUACUGGCAGUCUUGAGUACAGUUGAGGUAGGCGGAAUUCGUGGUGUAGCGGUGAAAUGCUUAGAUAUCACGAAGAACCCCGAUUGCGAAGGCAGCCUACUAAACUGCCACUGACAUUGAUGCUCGAAAGUGUGGGUAUCAAACAGGAUUAGAUACCCCUGUAGUC
rnacentral:rRNA from 1 species